rnacentral:lncRNA from 1 species
AUCAAUAUAACAUCUUAAUAUCCUUUGGCUUUAUUGGGUAUCAAUGUAUCAUCAUAAUCCUCUGGCCUCACCGAGUAUCAACAUAUGCUUCGGCCUUGCCGAGUAUUAACAUAACAUUACAAUAUCCUUCGUCCACGUCGUGUAUCAAUAUAACAUCACAAUAUUCUUUGGCCUUGCCAGGUAUCAACAUAUCAUCACAAUAUCCUC